AGCUCGGCCCGGGGUCGGCCCGGGCUGUCCCGGCUGCGGCUCCGGCCGGGGGGGCUCGAGCGGCCGCCCCCGGGCCGUGCCGGGAGCUCGGCUGUGCCCGGGCCGGGGCCUCUCCCGGAGGGAUGUGCGGCACGGCGGGGAAAGCGCCUGGAGCUUUGUGUUGUGUACGCGAGUGUUUUCCCCCUGUCUUUGCACAGGUUCAGCUCUGCGGGAACUGCCCGGGGGGCUGCCGGCCAGAGCCGCCCGAGGAUGGGGCUCCCCCCGAGCACGGGGCAAGCGCAGCCACCGCUGGGACCGGGUCAGCCUGCGGGAAGGUUUCCUGAUUGCUCCCGUCCCCAGAGCAGCUGUGCCUCGUUCCCAGAGGUCCCGCCUGGGCAAGCCCGGCUCAGCACAGCGCCAGGAGAGGCUGCACGGGAGGACGAGCCCGGCCAGGGGCAGGACACAGCCCAGCCCCGGGAGAGUUUGCAGCCUGGCUCGUGGUUUCCCCUGGUGCUGGGGAGUGGAGGCGAGUUGUGCUUCCUGCUGGGAGAGAGAAGGGCCUUGGGAAGCUGCUCCAUGAGCCACAGCUGUGCCGAGCCUGGGAGUCUGUCCAGCAGGAUGUCAAGUGCCACCGUGUCCCUGAGGUUCCCCCUUUCUCCUGUAGGGAGAGCACGAGGUGGAUGGAGAGGAUCCCCAGGCAUCUGCAGACACAAGGGACUCGUAGAACUGCGAUUUUCCUACAGCCCUCGUGAGAGGGACUUUGAGGGUACCAUGGGGAAUAACUCCUGUCAGCAGCAAGG